GAUGAACGCUAGCUACAGGCUUAACACAUGCAAGUCGAGGGGAAACGGCAUUGAGUGCUUGCACUCUUUGGACGUCGACCGGCGCACGGGUGAGUAACGCGUAUCCAACCUUCCCAUUACUGUGGGAUAACCUGCCGAAAGGCAGACUAAUACCGCAUAGUCUUCGAUGACGGCAUCAGAUUUGAAGUAAAGAUUUAUCGGUAAUGGAUGGGGAUGCGUCUGAUUAGCUUGUUGGCGGGGUAACGGCCCACCAAGGCUACGAUCAGCAGGGGUUCUGAGAGGAAGGUCCCCCACAUUGGAACUGAGACACGGUCCAAACUCCUACGGGAGGCAGCAGUGAGGAAUAUUGGUCAAUGGACGGAAGUCUGAACCAGCCAAGUAGCGUGCAGGAUGACGGCCCUAUGGGUUGUAAACUGCUUUUGUAUGGGGAUAAAGUUAGGGACGUGUCCCUAUUUGCAGGUACCAUACGAAUAAGGACCGGCUAAUUCCGUGCCAGCAGCCGCGGUAAUACGGAAGGUCCAGGCGUUAUCCGGAUUUAUUGGGUUUAAAGGGAGCGUAGGCUGGAGAUUAAGUGUGUUGUGAAAUGUAGACGCUCAACGUCUGAAUUGCAGCGCAUACUGGUUUCCUUGAGUACGCACAACGUUGGCGGAAUUCGUCGUGUAGCGGUGAAAUGCUUAGAUAUGACGAAGAACUCCGAUUGCGAAGGCAGCUGACGGGAGCGCAACUGACGCUUAAGCUCGAAGGUGCGGGUAUCAAACAGG
rnacentral:rRNA from 1 species